rnacentral:rRNA from 1 species
GACGAACGCUGGCGGCGUGCUUAACACAUGCAAGUCGAGCGGUAAGGCCCCUUCGGGGGUACACGAGCGGCGAACGGGUGAGUAACACGUGAGCAAUCUGCCCAUCACAUCGGGAUAACUCCGGGAAACCGAAGCUAAUACCGAAUACGACCACUCCCGGCAUCGGGUGGUGGUGGAAAGUUCCGGCGGUGAUGGAUGAG